UACGGCCAUAUCACAUUGAAACACCAGUCCUCGUACGAUCACAGAUGUUAAGCCACGUUGAGCCUAGUCUGUAAUGAGAUGGGUAACCGCUUAGGUAUACCAGGUUCUGUA